rnacentral:rRNA from 1 species
UUGAUCCUGGCUCAGCUUGAACGCUGGUUGGCAUGGCUAAAACAUGCAAGUCGAACGCGAAAUCAUCUUCGGAUGAGAUUAGAGUGGCGAACUGGCGAGUAAUGCGUUCCUAACGUGCCCUAAGGUCAGGGAUAGCUCGGGGAAACCCGGGGUAAUACCUGAUAAUCCCUUCUCGUCGCAUGGCGAGUUGGGCAAAGGCUUGCUGCCUUGGGAUCAGGGGAACGUGCUAUCAGGUUGUUGGUAGGGUAAUGGCCUACCAAGCCUUAGACGGCUAGCGGGUGUGAGAGCAUGACCCGCCGCAUCGGGACUGAGACACUGCCCGGACUCCUACGGGAGGCUGCAGUAACGGAUAUUCCGCAAUGCGCGAAAGCGUGACGGAGCAAUGCCGCGUGGAGGAUGAAGCAUUUCGGUGUGUAAACUCCUGUCAGGGUUUAGGAAUUUUGACCAAACCCAAAGGAAGGACCGGCUAACUUCGUGCCAGCAGCCGCGGUAAUACGAAGGGUCCUAGCGUUAAGCGAAUUCACUGGGCUUAAAGGGUGCGCAGGCGGGAACGUAAGUGCUUUGUGAAAUCCCACAGCUCAACUGUGGAAGUGCUUGGCAUACUGCGUUUCUUGAGGUCGGUAGAGGUUGCCGGAACUGUAGGUGUAGCGGUGAAAUGCGUAGAUAUCUACAGGAACACCAAAGACGAAGGUAGGCAACUGGGCCGAUUCUGACGCUCAGGCACGAAAGCGUGGGUAGCGAACAGGAUUAGAUACCCUGGUAGUCCACGCCGUAAACGUUGUGCACUAGAUACGGGAGGUACUGAAACCAUCCGUGUCGCAGUAAAAACAUUAAGUGCACCGCCUGGGGAGUACGGUCGCAAGGCUAAAACUCAAAGGAAUUGACGGGGGCUCACACAAGCGGUGGAGCAUGUGGCUUAAUUCGAAGCAACGCGAAGAACCUUAUCCUGGGUUUGACAUGUUUGGAUUAGUUUAUCGAAAGAUAAAUGACGCGGAUUUCCGUGGAACUUACACAGGUGCUGCAUGGCUGUCGUCAGCUCGUGCUGUGAAGUGUUGGGUUAAGUCCCUUAACGAGCGAAACCCCUACCGCUAGUUGCCAGCAUUUAGUUGGGGACUCUAGCGGGACUGCCGGUGUCAAACCGGAGGAAGGUGGGGAUGACGUCAAGUCCUCAUGGCCUUUAUGCCCAGGGCUGCACACGUGCUACAAUGGCAAUUACAAAGCGAAGCGAAACCGCGAGGUAGAGCAAAUCGCAAAAAAAUUGCCCCAGUUCGGAUUGGAGUCUGCAACUCGACUCCAUGAAGGUGGAAUCGCUAGUAAUCGCGUAUCAGCUACGACGCGGUGAUACGUUCCUGAGCCUUGUACACACCGCCCGUCAAGUCAUGGAAGCCGGAGUACCCGAAGUCGCACUACUUCAAGUGUGCCGACGGUAAGCUCGGUGACUGGGACUAAGUCGUA